GAAAAGGCUGCAAGCCAAGUACAAUACGCGCUGGAAGGAAGAGGGACCAGAGCUUACCAUUGCAGCAAGGAUCCGUCCCAAUAUUGGAGAUGCAUUCUUCACCUUCCCAGGAUCUUCCUUUUGCUGGCCCUGCACACUUGCAGAAAUAUAUGGGAAAUAAGCAAACAUGAUGUAAUGGUUACAGCACAGGACUUUGAGUUACUAGUGAACUUGGGUCACACACAGAGAGGAGACAAAAGGGUCCAGGAAAAGAUAUUCAUCAGUGACCUUCACUCUUACCUCCACUCUGCUGAACAGAACAUGGUUUCAACACGCCAGGAGCAAUUUUUUGUAAAGGAUGAAAGGUGAUUUUUGCUUAUAACAAAGAUGCCAGAGUGAGAGAAUCUUCAACUGACCCUUAAAAUGACAAAGAAAAAACCCAUUUUAAUGCUUAUUUUUGGCAGGUGUGAAAUGCAGCCAAGAUAAAGUUGAAUCUUCUUCAACUGGGACAAACUGGUGGAGAAGCCGUUAUCCUGAUUAACUGGAUUUUUCCAAUUAAAAGAAGAGAUUUCACAAAUAAAAUCUAAAGAGCCUUCAAAUAAAUACUGCCCUGUACCUAAUGCAAGAUUUAAAAUGAUAGUCUCUGCAUUCUGAACAGGGUCCUGACUACACUUGCCAUUAUUAUUAAAAUUAUAAUAAUAGUGCGUAGGCGCCUCUGCCAUGAACAAGGACCCCAGUGUACCAGGAGCUGUACAAACACAGAACAAACAGACCAUCCCCACCCCAAUGAGUUUAGAAUCUAGUAGUUUCCUGCCCUGGUUCAGUUGCCUCUCAAAGUGAUAACUCUCCUCCAUGAGUUAUCGACCAGGAACUUUUCACCCCAAAUGCAUGAGCGGCUGUUGUUGAGCUAAGGAACUGAAGAGGUACCGGGGUGACAGAUUUUUCCAAGGUAUUUAGGCAUCUAAAGGUGCAGCUA